rnacentral:rRNA from 1 species
UACGUAGGGUGCGAGCGUUGUUCGGAAUUACUGGGCGUAAAGGGCUCGUAGGCGGCCAACUAAGUCGGAUGUGAAAUCCCCAGGCUCAACUUGGGAACUGCAUCCGAUACUGGAUGGCUUGAAUUCGGGAGAGGGAUGCAGAAUUCCAGGUGUAGCGGUGAAAUGCGUAGAUAUCUGGAGGAAUACCGGUGGCGAAGGCGGCAUCCUGGACCGACAUUGACGCUGAGGAGCGAAAGCUAGGGGAGCAAACGGG